rnacentral:rRNA from 1 species
UACGGGGGGGGCAAGCGUUGUUCGGAAUUACUGGGCGUAAAGGGCGUGUAGGCGGCCAACUAAGUCCGACGUGAAAUCCCCAGGCUUAACCUGGGAACUGCGUCGGAUACUGGAUGGCUUGAAUCCGGGAGAGGGAUGCGGAAUUCCAGGUGUAGCGGUGAAAUGCGUAGAUAUCAUGAGGAAUACCAGAGGCGAAGGCGGCUACCUGGACAAUUGCUGACGCUCAGGCACGAAAGCGUGGGGAGCAAAAGGG